AUGAACGCUGGAGGUAUGCUUAACACAUGCGAGUCUAAUGGCAAUUUAUAAUAAAUUCGUCCGUGGCGCACGGGUGAGGAGGGUGGAAGUACUUACCUUUUCGUGGUGAAUAAAUUAAAAAUAAUGCACCUAAAGAAAUUGUUGUUUAUUUGAUGGAAAUGUGUACCAUCAUUAUCAAUAUAUUUGUAAUAAAGAUUGUAUAUCGCGAGAUAAAGGGCUUCUGCAGGAUUAGGUAGUUGGGGGGAUAAAAGCUUCCCAAGCCUGUGAUCCUUAGCUGGUCUGAGAGGACGCACAGCCACAUUAGGAAUGAAAACGGCCUAAACUACUUCUUGUAGGCAGCAGUGGGGAAUAUUGGACAAUGAGCGAAAGCUUGAUCCAGCAAUACCUCGUUGAGGAAGAAGGUGUAGACUGUAAACUCGUUUUAGUAAAGAAUAUGAUGACUUAUUUACAGAAUAAGCCCCGGCUAAUUCCGU
rnacentral:rRNA from 1 species